UACUCAUAGUGUGGACACAUACUCAACAACUCCUUAAACCUCUCCCAAGUUUGAUAUAAAGUUUCAUUAUCUUUUUGUGAAAAUGUGGCGAUCUGCCUCUUCAAAGCA